GGGGGACGACUAACUCCCAACCCCUGUGACAUACCUUAAUGUUGCCUCGGCGGAUCAGCCCGCGCCCCGUAAAACGGGACGGCCCGCCAGAGGACCCAAACUCUAAUGUUUCUUAUUGUAACUUCUGAGUAAAACAAACAAAUAAAUCAAAACUUUCAACAACGGAUCUCUUGGUUCUGGCAUCGAUGAAGAACGCAGCAAAAUGCGAUAAGUAAUGUGAAUUGCAGAAUUCAGUGAAUCAUCGAAUCUUUGAACGCACAUUGCGCCCGCUGGUAUUCCGGCGGGCAUGCCUGUUCGAGCGUCAUUUCAACCCUCAAGCCCCCGGGUUUGGUGUUGGGGAUCGGCUCUGCCCUUCUGGGCGGUGCCGCCCCCGAAAUACAUUGGCGGUCUCGCUGCAGCCUCCAUUGCGUAGUAGCUAACACCUCGCAACUGGAACGCGGCGCGGCCAUGCCGUAAAACCCCAACUUCUGAAUGUUGACCUCGGAUCAGGUAGGAAUACCCGCUGAACUUAAGCAUAUCAAAGUCGGGAGGA
rnacentral:rRNA from 1 species